rnacentral:rRNA from 1 species
AGUCACUGACAUUAGAUACCCCCUGUAGUCCAGGGUGUAAACGCUGCAGACUUUGGUGUUUGGGAAGUCCUUUUGGGGGGCAUUCAGUGCCGGAGAGAAGUUGUUAAGUCUGCUACUUGGGGAGUACGUCCGCAAGGAUGAAACUUAAAGGAAUUGGCGGGGGAGCACCGCAACGGGAGGAGCGUGCGGUUUAAUUGGAUUCAACACCGUAAAACUCACCAGGGAAGACUGUUACAUGAAAGCCGAGUUGAAGACUCUGCUAGAUUUUUCAG